UUGGAUAUGACAAAAUCCAAUCUUGAAAGAUCUACUCUGAAAUCCGUAUUUCUGCUGGUGAUUCUUUCCAAAUGUUAAAUUGUAAACAACAUUGACCUGUAUUGACUAUCUUCAGGAUUUUGUUUUGAUGCAAUUUAUUUCAUGGUUUGGUAAUAGUCAAUGAUAUAACUGAACCAAUUUGCCAUUCAUGGGGUACUAUGCAGUAGGCCAGUUAUUCUUAUGCAUUGUUACGUUCUAUCAUAAUUUGUUCUGAAGCAAUCUUUGUGAAUGAUUGAGGCCUAUUUUCCUUUCCCUUCUAAAUCCAGUUCAGAUGAUGGUGGACUAUUUGGUAAGAUCGGUCUAACCACUAUGCUGAACACCUCUUGUCUGCAAGUUUUACUGGAUAUUGCAAAUUACAAUUGCUUGGAUGAAGAAUGUGUACUUGAUGAAAUUUUAGGGUUGCGCAUUGGAGUAUAGACUGAAAGUGCAGGCUGACAAAGAAGAAGAUGAGUUGAAGGGCUUUUCAUGCAGUGCUAUUCAUUUUUCCAGGCGCAAUGAGAUCUGAAUGUUCAUAUCUAUCUGAUUUUGGAAUAAAUGCACAAACAACAAAUUAACGGGAUGUAUUGACUGUCAUGUACUUCACAAGUUCAGCAAGUGUGCGGGAAUGCAAACACCAAAUUAUUGUUCAGGUGUUUCUAUCUGAUUUUGGAAUGAAUGCACAAACGAUAAAUUUACCACCAUUUUAAAAUUUACCAUCUUUUUCCUACUUUGGUUGUCUCGAAUUAUCUCUUUGGGAACAUUCAAUAAAAACAAGUUAGUAACUCUUUUUUGAAAAUGUAUGGUAUCUCAAAUUGUGAAUA